rnacentral:rRNA from 1 species
AUUGAACGCUGGCGGCGUGCCUAACACAUGCAAGUCGAGCGGUAACAGGUGUAGCAAUACAUGCUGACGAGCGGCGAACGGGUGAGUAAUGCUUUGGAAUCUUCCCAGUAGUGGGGAAUAACCAGUCGAAAGAUUGGCUAAUACCGCACACGUCUGUAAAAGGGAAAGCGGGGGAUCGCAAGACCUCGCGCUAUUGGAUGAGCCAAAGUCGGAUUAGCUAGUUGGGGGUAAUGGCCUACCAAGGCGACAAUCCGUAGCUGGUCUGAGAGGACGACCAGCCACACCGGAACUGAGACACGGUCCGGACUCCUACGGGAGGCAGCAGUGGGGAAUAUUGGACAAUGGGGGAAACCCUGAUCCAGCGACGCCGCGUGUGUGAAGAAGGCCUG